rnacentral:lncRNA from 1 species
CUCCUCCAAAACACAUUCUGUAACUAACAAGGAACACAGAAACAGCAUGGAGAAGAAUAAAGAGAAAAACUUAAAAUUUUCAAUAUGCAAAAACGCCUGUUUUGAUGGGUGAUGUGGUGAACACUGAGUUCACUUAAAAGCAUUAUAUUGGUUGGGCAGUGAAUAUCUUUGUUACAGGAAAUAAUAUGUUUUGUCUUCCUGGCCUAUUCAAGGAGGGAUCAGCAAGUAUUGGGGGCGUGGAAGAAAUGUACUCAUAGACCCUUUUGCCUGAAUCUGACUCAAAUUUUCCAGUGAAGCAGAAAGGAGGAAAUACCACAUCCCCAGGUGUGCCUAGCCUUUGACGAUUAUUGUGAGUCCCCAAGAGUUACCCUAGUCCCUUCCCCAAUACGCAUUCCAGCUUGUAGCUUGACUAAAGACGUUUUGUACAUGUCUAGGCACAUCUGAAGACAGUGGAAGGAGACACGAUGAGUCGAGAAGAGGUGGAAGAGGAGGCAACCAGGAUUCAGGUAAAAGGAGACUUGGAGAUGAAGAAGGAGGAGGAGAUCUGUGAGGCCGGAGAGCUUGGUCCGUUUGUGAGUACUGUGCCCACCCUGAUACCCCACAACAAGGGGAUCCGGAUUUCUGAAGCAUGGGAGUAUUUCCACCUGGCCCCUGCUUGUGCUGCUCACCAUCCCAACCAGUAUGCCACCUGCCGCCUGUGUGGCAGGCAGGUGAGCUGUGGUCCUGGGGUUAAUGUGGGCACCACCGCUCUUUGGAAGCAUCUGAAAAGCAUGCACAGGGAGGAGCUGGAGAAGAGUGGCCACUGCCAGGCGGGGCAGCGCCAGGACCCAGGGCCCCCAGGGCCCCAGCUCCCCGUGUGCAUCGAGGGAGACUGGGGCAGGUUCCUGGAGCAGGCCAGCGCCCUGGCUUUGUGGGCCAGCCAGAGGGAAAAGGAGGUGCUUAGGAGGGAGAGGGCUGUGGAGAGACGUGAGCACGCCUUGGAGGAGGUGGAAAGGGCGAUCCUGG